UACGUAUGGAGCAAGCGUUAUCCGGAUUUACUGGGUGUAAAGGGAGCGUAGGCGGUUUUAUAAGUCUGAUGUGAAAACCCGAGGCUCAACCACGGGAUUGCAUUGGAAACUGUAAAACUAGAGUGUCGGAGAGGCAAGUGGAAUUCCUAGUGUAGCGGUGAAAUGCAUAGAUAUUAGGAGGAACACCAGUGGCGAAGGCGGCUUGCUGGACGAUUACUGACGCUGAGACUCGAAAGCGUGGGGAGCAAAC
rnacentral:rRNA from 1 species